UAAUGCGCACAUAUUCUUGUCUCCAGGGUUUUCUUUUAGCUAUGCAGUCAUAAAAUCAUUUCUGUUACUGGCUCCAAUCCCUGGACUGGUGUCUGGGAAGUACACUAAUUCAGAAAACUGAGGCCAAGAAAAUGUCAUGUGGAAUGGAAGAUGCUACGGAAGCUGAUUGGGACGGUGAGGAACUGAAAUCAUCUCCACCUGCAGCAAUUAAACAUUGACCCUGGAAGCCUUGCCUUUGAGAGGCCCAGGUGGGUCUGGAGACUUAGCAUAAUUUUUUCUUCUUUGCACAUCCAUUUAAACAAGUUGGUUCUACAGUGAAAUAUUUAUAGUCUUCAUUUUAUAUGGCUUGGAGUUUGGAUCAUUUCCUUAUAUAAAAGGAGACAAGGUGCACUUGUUUUUUUCUAAAUCGAAUUAAAUUCAGUUUUGAGUACCAGCUCGUCAAGCUGGCAAGAAGUGUCUGCCAUUAUUGGCAUUAAUGGGCUUCUUCCUUUCCCUGAACCCAGUGCCAUGUGCCUGGAACAACAACGGGGAAAGGCCAUGGUUCCUUUCCCUUCAUCUGAGCAUUGACUCUCAUGUCCUUGGCUCCAGGAUGCCGUGCAAUCCUGACACCUACAUCUGUGGGGCGACCUUCCCUAUCACCUGCACCUUUUGGAAUUUUGACUCCACCGUGGAGCCUAAGUGAAGCCUGGAGUCUGGGAAAACAAAGCAGAAGUCACUUAUUUCAAGAAAGAGAAAAUCCCACUCAUCCACGAACCUGGAGUCCCACGGUUAGCUGCUUAGUUGGCUGCACUGUCAUGUUAAAUAGUUUCCCUGGAAGUGAAAUUGUCCUCUUAGAUUUUCAUUCGUUUUGCUGUUUCCUGUGGAUUUUGGGGAGAAGAAGAGCAUCUCCCCUGCACAGCUGCAAACUCAGGUUAGCUGGGUUACACUCCUGUGCCGGAGCUUGCAGCAGGUGAUCAGGCCUGUGUACAUGAGGCUGUGGAGAGGCAGGGUGGGUACUGGGGCCAGGGGACUUCCAGGAAAUAAAGCUCCUACCUGAAAUGAUAAACAGAGGAAUAUAUUUUAGCCAGUUAGAGAGAAAUUAUUUCUAAAAACUCAA